AUGAGCCCUCAACACCAAUCAAUGCAUGGUGUUCUUCGACUGAUCGUUACUCUCGAUGGUGAGGAUGUUAUUGAUUGUGAACCCAUAUUAGGCUAUUUACACAAAGGAAUGGAAAAAUCACGGAAAACCGAACUAUUAUACAAUACUUACCUUAUGUAA
rnacentral:rRNA from 1 species